GCCUACGGGAGGCAGCAGUAGGGAAUUUUCGUCAAUGGGCGCAAGCCUGAACGAGCAAUGCCGCGUGAACGAGGAAGGUCUUCGGAUCGUAAAGUUCUGUUGAAGGGGAAAAAGAGCGGAGAGAGGAAAUGAACUCCGAUUGAUAUUACCCUUCGAGGAAGUAACGGCUAACUACGUGCCAGCAGCCGCGGUAAUACGUAGGAGGCGAGCGUUAUCCGGAAUGAUUGGGCGUAAAGGGUGCGUAGGCGGCCUGCUACGUCUGGAGUGAAAGGGACAGGCGAAACAGGUACAG
rnacentral:rRNA from 1 species